GUGUGUGAUGCACUUGAUAAAUUAAAUCGAAAUUUUUUUUGGGGUGGGAGUGAGAAAAUGAGCAGGGUCCAUCUUUGUCAGUGGGAUCUUGUUUGUAGGCCUAAGAGUAAAGGGGGGUUGGGCUUUAAAAAAACUGGUGCUAUGAAUCAAGCUUUGUUAGCCAAGAUUGGUUGGAGGUUGCAUAUUAAGGAUGAAGGAUUGUGGGCAAAGAUUUAUGAGGCUAAAUACCUUAAAGGCCAUUCUAUUCUUGAUGAUUCUGUGAUUUUUAGGCAGGAUUGUUCUUCUACAUGGAGAGGUGUGCUACAUGGGGCUGCUCUUCUAAGGAAGGGUAUGUUAUGGAGAAUUGGGGAUGGUGGUACUGUUAGUUUUUGGAAGGAUAAUUGGGUUUUUGAUGCUCCUUUAAACCAAAAUGAUAGUUGUGUGCAUAUUUGUGACCCAGAUUCUGUUAUUUCCAGUUUUUACAAAAAUGGUUGGUGGGAUAUGGAGAAACUAAGGGCUGCUUUACCUAAUGAUCUGGUCCAACGAGUUAUUAGCUAUCCUGUGGGGUUUAAUAGUGGGAUUCAGGAUGCUCAAAUUUGGAAGUUUUCUCCCAAUGGGAUUUUCUCUGUAAAAUCUGCUUAUAAUAUGCUUUUUGAGGGUUGCUCUGAUGUUGAUUGGAAGUUUUUGUGGAAGCUUAAGAUUCCUCCCAAGUUGCAUAUUUUCUUUUGGCUUGUUUUUCAAGGAAAAAUUCUUUCUAAUGAGCAAAGAGCUAGAAGACAGCUGUCUUUGGAUGCUUCUUGUGGUUCUUGUCACUGGCCUGUGGAGUCUGUUCUUCAUAUUCUUCGUGAUUGUGUUAAGGCUAGGAAGGUGUGGAAUGCUCUUCUUAAUUCUAGUCAAAGUGCUGGAUUUUUUACUAUGGACUUUCAGCCUUGGCUUAAAGUAAACUUGAUGUCGAAGAUUGUUUGGGCUGAUGGUUUUCCCUGGAAUUUGGUUUUUGUUUUCACAUGUUGGUACAUAUGGAAAUGGAGGAAUUUCUAUGUGUUUCAUGGUGAUGAAGAAUUGGCUUUUGACUCUAUACAGAUUAUUACUGCUGCUGUGAAGGAAUGGUUUAAAGCUUCUAUUGUUUCUUCUAUCAAGUGUGCUAAGGUUGAGGCUUGGUUUGCUUGGGAACCUCCUCCUGCUGGGGUCUUUAAACUGAAUGUUGAUGGCUCUAGGAAAGUUGCUUCUGGCCAUAUUGGUGCUGGAGGUGUGCUGCGUGAUGUUUCUGGUGAUUGGUGUAGUGGUUUUGCAAUUAAUUUGGGAAAAGGGCAGAUUCUAGAGGCUGAAUUAUGGGGCUUGUUUUUUGGUCUGAGGAUGGCUGUUGAGAAAGGGUUUAAUAACCUUAUCGUUGAGAUGGAUUCGGCUGUUGCUAUCCAGCUUGUUCAGCAGCAUGAUUUUCUUACUUUGCAC
rnacentral:lncRNA from 1 species